AUCAUUUUCCUUGGAAGCCAUUAUGCCAUUUUGCCUAGGGAAGCAGGGAGGGUAGAUACUUCUAAGGGAAAGAGAUGCCAAAACAAUGAUCAGUGACCAAGUAGAACGGUGCCACCAUCACCUCAGAGUUUCUUUAAGCAGCACAGAUCCACAAAGACCCUUCAGUUCCUCUCCACCCCAUGAGGCUCCAAGGGGCUUAUGAGGGGUCAAUCUGUGAAGUAGAUGAAAAUGAUAAUACAUGAAGCCUUUACUGAUUUUAUGAGACAUUAAUCCAUGUUUAAAAGGAUGUCAAAACACUUCUACUUCCAGGAAGAUGUAGUAAAUACAUUUUUCUUCUUCAUUCCCCGGUUAAGAAUCCGCCUGUCAAGGCAGGGGACACGGGUUCGAGCCUUGGUCCGGGAAGAUCCCACAUGCCGCAGAGCAACUAAGCCCAUGCGCCACAGCUACUGAGCCUGUGCUCUAGAGCCCAUGAACCACAACUACUGAGCCCGCGUGCCACAACUACUGAAGCCCGCAUGCCUACAGCCCAUGCUCCACAACAAGAGAAGCCACCGCAAUGAGAAGCCUGCACACCGCAAGGAAGAGUAGCCCCUGCUCACCAAAACUAGAGAAAGCCCGCAAUCAACAAUGAAGACCCAACGCAGCCAAAUUAAAAAAUAAAUUAAUUAAUUAAUUUAAAAAAUAUGUGCAAUUAAUUAUGGAAGAAGUCCAGCAUCAUGGACACCAUUA